AUUGAACGCUGGCGGCAGGCCUAACACAUGCAAGUCGAGCGAGCGGCGGACGGGUGAGUAAUGUCUGGGAAACUGCCUGAUGGAGGGGGAUAACUACUGGAAACGGUAGCUAAUACCGCAUACCAUCAGAUGUGCCCAGAUGGGAUUAGCUAGUAGGUGGGGUAACGGCUCACCUAGGCGACGAUCAGUAGCGGGUCUGAGAGGAUGAUCCGCCACACUGAGACUGAGAGACGGCCCCGACGCCUACGGGAGGCAGCCGUGGGGAAUUUUGGACAAUGGGCGCAAGCCUGAUCCAGCCAUGCCGAGUGUCUGAAGAAGGCCUUCGGGUUGUAAAGUACUUUUGUCAGGGAAGCGGUACCUGAAGAAUACGCACCGGCUAACAACGUGCCAGCAGCCGCGGUAAUUC
rnacentral:rRNA from 1 species